rnacentral:lncRNA from 1 species
ACUUCAGCUCCCUGGGCCUCAGUCUGCCCAUCUGUACAAGCCAGGCAUUUCCCACCGGCGUUGGUGGGCCCCUCUGUGGGGCCUGAGGACACAACACACGUGAAGCAGAUGCAUCCUGAGUCUACGUCACAUGGAUACACAACCACAACAGGAUACUAGUUCAUUGAAAACACCUUCACUAGUUAUGACAGGGCACUGCCAGUUUGCUACCCUCUGAUACAGGUAUUCGAGAAAGCCUGAUUUUUGUGGAUGGAGACAGCAGAGUUGCGGUUGGGUCAGGUUCUCAGGGCAAGCCACAGCCUGGUAUCUCCAACCUCAAGGCUCAUCUGUCCAUCCAUCUAACGUGAAGAGUCAAGCAAAGGCACUCUUGUACAGGGAGGCUGCGGAGGGCUGACCUCCCAGCAGAUCAUGGCCAAGAUGCUCCAGAACCACUCAGAAGGACAGAGAUGGCUCAGCCCAGCCUUUGCAGCCAGAAGGAAUAACACACCAUCGCCAUCAUCUCAGGGCCAAGUUCCAGAAGGGCCUGAGCUGACUCACUCAACAACUGGAAAAAUAAGACAGUCACAAAACCAAUCUGACUCGCAAAUCUGGCUUAGAUUCAGAGUUCACUGUGUGUCACGUUCGGAGUCAGGGAACCAAAAACCGGCCAGGUUUUACAUCUCAGGUCAUCUAACUUUCACAAAAACUUGGCUUCACAGAGGAGGAAACAAAGGCCCAGAGAGGCCAAGUGUCCCACCCAAGAUCACACAGCCAGUAAGCCCCGGCA